rnacentral:tRNA from 1 species
GGCGGCGUAGCUCAGGGGCAGAGCGAACGGCUCAUAACCGUUAGGUCGGCGGUUCGAACCCGCCCGCCGCCA